CAUCUCAAACAAGAGAAACAAAAAUGUUAGUUCCUUAACUAUAGUCUCUUUCAAACACAAAUCACAUACUUCUUAGCAUCACACAUAAAGAAGACAAAUACUAAACGCAUGUCAAUCCGAUACGGAAAAUCACCUAAUGAGCUUACAGAAAAGAAUCCUAAUCAUAAUGGUCCCCUUCCAUGUAAAAAUUCCAACCAACAAAUAAAGUGAAUUGUAUUCCACAAAACCCGGUAAACGAAACAUCCUGAAUCAGGUCCUAUACUAGGUUAAUCUGUAACUCAUUAGCGACCCAAGUUCACAAUCAAAACAAAACCAUUCCACAACAUAAAGAAUGAAAAUUCUCACAUCACAAAAGAAACGGAACUCCGGAAAUUCAAUUCGGAUUUCUUACCUUAUCUGGAGCAAACCACAGCUCUACAGACCAAAAGUCCAGCGUCAAAAGCACAAAGCUGCAGCUCUUCUUCCAAACUACCCUGCAAGGCAUUCAAUACCGAGUUAUGCAAAAAGGAAUGGAAAACAAGCUUUUUCGGAUGUCUAGAGUAAAAUUCCAAUUGGGCAAGAGUCUACUUCUGUACAACGACAUGCAUUACAGUAAAAAGAAGAAGCAACGGUAUUGGCGAACAAAGGGACAUGGGAAUGCUAUUCAAUGGCUUUUAGGGGAGACAUAAUUACUAGUUUUUAUUAUUUUCGUUUAUUUUUCAUUUUGUUUAACAAGGACUUCAAAGUCCAUUAGAGGUAGGAUUAGUGGUCAUUUAUUUGACCAUUUCUACUUGGUAUUUCCAAUGUUUGCCGUGGGUGUUAAUAAAGGAGACUCAUUCUCCUUUUGAGAAAAAAGCUACCAUAAUAUAUCACACUUUAGAGGGGCUGCGGCAAAGAAGGGAAGAGGAAGAGAAGUUUAUAGUUUUUCUAGGCUACGAUGUAGCCUAAUCAUGAAUACUUAAUUGCCUUGUGGCAUUGUUAUUAUCAAGUUUUUCUUCCUUAUUGAAUAUCUUAUGCUA